GCGGGAAGCGCUUCGAGCCGAGUAGCCCCGGGCUCUCCCGUCCUCCCGAGUGCCGGCAGUGCCUCCGUCGUGAACGCGAUCGGCAGCUUUCGUCGGUGCCCUUUUCCCGUCUGCUUUUCCCGUGGCGGUGGCGGUGAAUCGAGAGAGGAAGCGGUCCUGGGGCACGGCUCGGGGCUCUCAGGGCUUCCUUGGAGUUGCUGGGAGCGUCUGCUGUUAGCAGCAGUUGCUGCGGGAACUCUCCCGUGCUUUCAGCACUCGACCUCCGUUGUACUCUUGAGGGCUUCACCCGACGGCUGCGGGCUGCGGGCUGCGGGCUGUGGAUGCGAUGGCAGUGGAUGCAAGUGAGCAGUCCCGUGAGAAGCUCCUUGUUUGCCAAGUUCCUGCCGUGAGGCUGUAGGACCGAGGCCCUCUUUAGCGCACCGCUACAGAGCCAUAGGAAUCUGGGAUGCUUCUGCACACACGCCUGCAGUUCCCGUUCUGGCAGCGGCUCGGUGCAAGCGCAGGCCCAAGGGAGAUGUCAGCUGCGGAGACGUGCCCUUCCUCCACAGGACGGGAAAGCAAGUCGGGGAGAAGAGCUGGAGGCAGCUGAACCUAUAUGAGAAAAUGGAACUGAGAGACCCUGCGAAGGAGGAGAUCCCUGAGAAAAAGCGCAACACCAGCCAGAAGCUCAGCCUCGGAUACCUGCACAUGGCCGUCAGACAGAAGACGGGCAUGAAGACGAGAGCAGGGUCAGACCCUAAAGAACAGCAAGGCCACCUUGGCUAUGGAGCAGACAGUGGACCUGAAAUUGCAACAAGAAACAGGUACACACACACACACACACGCAGGGGAGAAACCCCUUCACCAGGGGCUUCUACCCCACGCACGGGGUCCCCUCCUCAGCCGGAGGGCACCCCAGUUCCACCCGCACGCAAGGGGAACCCUUGAAAACUUCAGGGCUAAGCCCCAUCUCACCUCCACGCACGGGGUCCUCUCCUCAGCUAGAGGGCACCCCAUUUCCACCCGCACGCAAGGGGAACCCUCGAAAACUUCAGGGCUAAGCCCCAUCUCACUGGCACGCACGGGGUCCCCUCCUCAGCCGGAGGGCACCCCAGUUUCACCCACAUGCAAGGGGAACCCUUGAAAACUUCAGGGCUAAGCCCCAUCUCACCUCCACGCACGGGGUCCUCUCCUCAGCCGGAGGGCACCCCAGUUUGACCCGCAUGCAAGGGGAACCCUUGAAAACUUCAGGGCUAAGCCCCAUCUCACCUCCACGCACGGGGUCCUCUCCUCAGCCGGAGGGCACCCCAGUUCCACCCGCACGCAAGGGGAACCCUUGAAAACUUCAGGGCUAAGCCCCAUCUCACCUCCACGCACGGGGUCCUCUCCUCAGCCGGAGGGCACCCCAGUUCCACCCACAUGCAAGGGGAACCCUUGAAAACUUCAGGGCUAAGCCCCAUCUCACCUCCACGCACGGGGUCCCCUCCUCAGCCGGAGGGCACCCCAGUUUGACCUGCAUGCAAGGGGAACCCUUGAAAACUUCAGGGCUAAGCCCCAUCUCACUGGCACGCACGGGGUCCUCUCCUCAGCCGGAGGGCACCCCAGUUUGACCCGCACGCAAGGGGAACCCUUGAAAACUUCAGGGCUAAGCCCC
ensembl:lncRNA